UUUGCGAUCGCGAGUGAAAAAGGGAAAUAGUGGAUUGUGGAAUAGCUAUUGUUUACAUCAAAGUGCCCAGUUGUAAUGGCUUGACUCUCGGUUGUACUUCUCGAAAUCCAAACAAUACGGUUGAAGAAAAUAGGUCUUUCUUUUCUUUCUCAAAAGACGUAGAAACUAUCGUUAUUGGAAAGAGCUAUUCCUCGAAAUCCAAGUGACAUAGCGAAAAGUAGUAAGCUGUGUGAUAUACAUUUCAAUGACAGUAACAUUCUGAAGAUUGUACUAAAAACUGUGAAUGGUAAACGUAUUGAAGUCCCGUCGCGAGGUCCUAUUAAAGAUACAGCUGUACCAACCAAAUUUCCAAAUUGCUCAUCAUAUCCCAGCAGGAUGGUCAAACCCCAAACCUCUGUUAUUUAUUUUGAAACACCAUGAGACCAAUGGAUGUGUUAAACUUCACUUAUUUGCACCUCUUGCGGUCACCAAAUUUUCCCUUCAGAACAGAUGAAUGGCAUAUUCAUAUUUUGAAGGAAAUUUAGUUAGAAGUAGGACAGCGAAUAGUUUAUUUUUGGUACAAAGAUGAGUUUGGCUUUCAAGAGAAAUUUUUUCGGUUCGAAGCUACUUCUCUUGUCUUGCAAUGCAAGUAAAGCGGAUUGAGGGAUAGUCUUCAAUGACAUCUGCUAUGCAGUCAUUUCGAUACGACCUCGCGACGGGACUUCAAUACGUUUACCAUUCACAGUUUUUAGUACAGUCUUCAGAAUGUCACUGUCAUUGAAAUGUAUAUCACACAGCUUACUACUUUUCGUUAUGUCACUUGGGUUUCGAGGAAUAGCUAUUUUCCACAACGAUAGAAUUUUCCACAUCUUUUGGGAAAGAAAAGAAAGACCUCUUUUCGUCAACCGUUUUUUUUUUUCACGUCGAUUCGUACAUCCGGGAGCGAAACAAGUAGGCAUGUUAUAGAAAUUGAAACAGGCAAGCCAUUAGAACUGGAAACUUUGAUGUAAACAACAGCUUUUCCGCAAUAUACUAUUUCCCUUUUUCA